UGGAGUGUUUCGAUUGCCUGCUUACGGAAUCACAAUGAGCACAAGUUUGCAACCUUGAAGGAAAACCCGUUGCAACUGAUGACAUAAUAUUACGUCGCAACAAGAAUGUAUAGAGCUGCAGAGCUCUGUGGAUCCUUCUCUUCACAAAAGGAAACAAGAGGUAAUGUAAACAAUAGAUUCUCUUGUGAAAUUGCGAUUCAGCCUUGGGGCGUGGAUGGCGAGAAGCGGAGGCAUGUGCCUAGAGUAGCGGACCAUGAUGGAUUGAUGAGCUGAUGUCACGUGACGUACUCACGUGGCGGCUGGUUAGGCUCCGGCGGCUGGAGCCAUCAUCGACCAUGAUGCCGCGCCAGGAGCACAAGGGCUAAGACGAGGACAUGUUGGUGCUGAUGAAAUAAGGUGCUGCCGGUUGAUGGGGGCCUAACCAUGAGUCUAACUGAAAGUGAACGGGAGUGAUGUGCAGAAAAAAAUCUUAGCACAUAGGCUGAAUUUGUAUAGUACUUCGAAUUUAUUAGGCAGUACCCCCUCCAUUUGUAUAUCACUUCCGAAUACAAGUUCAGGUUAUUAGGCAGUACUAUUGAAUUUAAGGAUUGAUACUUGAAGAUUUUAAAAGGUUACUAAAUUUUGUACCAAGUCUACUGUUAUGUAUGGGAAGAACAUGCGCUAAAAUAUUGAUAAUGCAAAUGAAAGUGAUC